rnacentral:rRNA from 1 species
AAGCCGGCUUCGGCCGGGGAUUAGKGGCGAACGGGUGAGUAACACGUGGGCAAUCUGCCCUGCACUCUGGGACAAGCCCUGGAAACGGGGUCUAAUACCGGAUACGACCGUUUGAGGCAUCUCAUGGCGGUGGAAAGCUCCGGCGGUGCAGGAUGAGCCCGCGGCCUAUCAGCUUGUUGGUGAGGUAACGGCUCACCAAGGCGACGACGGGUAGCCGGCCUGAGAGGGCGACCGGCCACACUGGGACUGAGACACGGCCCAGACUCCUACGGGAGGCAGCAGUGGGGAAUAUUGCACAAUGGGCGCAAGCUGAUGCAGCGACGCCGCGUGAGGGAUGACGGCCUUCGGGUUGUAAACCUCUUUCAGCAGGGAAGAAGCGUAAGUGACGGUACCUGCAGAAGAAGCGCCGGCUAACUACGUGCCAGCAGCCGCGGUAAUACGUAGGGCGCAAGGUUGUCCGGAAUUAUUGGGCGUAAAGAGCUCGUAGGCGGCUUGUCGCGUCGGGUGUGAAAGCCCGGGGCUUAACCCCGGGUCUGCAUUCGAUACGGGCAGGCUAGAGUGUGGUAGGGGAGAUCGGAAUUCCUGGUGUAGCGGUGAAAUGCGCAGAUAUCAGGAGGAACACCGGUGGCGAAGGCGGAUCUCUGGGCCAUUACUGAC